rnacentral:hammerhead_ribozyme from 1 species
AUCCAGGUGAAGAGUUUCAAAUAGGACGAAAUGCGCAUCCCGGAU